GUGCUCGUUUUGUCUGCACAUAUACUAAAACUGGAACAAUGCAGACAAAAUUAGCAUGGCCCCUGUACAGGGAUGACAAUCAAAUUUGUGAAGCGUUCCAUAUUAAA